rnacentral:lncRNA from 1 species
CUGUGUGGAUUGUAGACUCAGGAGCAACAGUGUAAGGUACCGGACUUCUAAAACUAUGAAGUUAUGGUGUACAUUUAAAUGGUUCCGGUGAGGUUGCGGUGGAAUGUGACAUACCAGAUUUUAAAUAUAAAAGUGAAAAUAAAUAAAAAUAGUAUGAGAUACUAUUUUUAUUGGAUUUAGAGAAGUGAAAUAUAAGUUGGGAAUGACCUGUGCUAAAAUCGGAGCGAAAAUAGAAGAUUUAGAAUUUUCUGUAAGAAACGGGGCAGAUAAAUUAGCAGAAAAUGCACAGUGUCAGAAAAUUAUGAAAAUUGGCGGAGAUGUCAGAAAGAAAUAUUUUUAUGAGGCUAGAUUUAAAGUUUCAUGCCAUUCUGACACCCGAAAAGUAAAAAAUAGAAUCCGAAAGCUAUUUGAUAAAGAUUACAGUUCGGUACAGUUUCGGUGACCAAACGGGGUCGAAACUGAAAUAUUAAAAUUUAUUUGGACUUAUUAAGUAAAACCGAGCCUGCUUGUCAAAUUUGAGCUCAAACGGACAUUCAGAAGGGCUCCGGCGAAAAAUAUCAGUUUCUAA